rnacentral:rRNA from 1 species
AUUGAACGCUGGCGGCAUGCUUUACACAUGCAAGUCGAACGGCAGCGGGGGCUUCGGCCUGCCGGCGAGUGGCGAACGGGUGAGUAAUGCAUCGGAACGUGCCCAUGUCGUGGGGGAUAACGUAUCGAAAGGUACGCUAAUACCGCAUACGUCCUGAGGGAGAAAGCGGGGGAUCUUCGGGCCUCGCGCGAUUGGAGCGGCCGAUGUCGGAUUAGCUAGUAGGUGAGGUAAAGGCUCACCUAGGCGACGAUCCGUAGCGGGUCUGAGAGGAUGAUCCGCCACACUGGGACUGAGACACGGCCCAGACUCCUACGGGAGGCAGCAGUGGGGAAUUUUGGACAAUGGGCGCAAGCCUGAUCCAGCCAUGCCGCGUGAGUGAAGAAGGCCUUCGGGUUGUAAAGCUCUUUCGGCCGGGAAGAAAUCGUGUUCUCUAACAUAGGACAUGGAUGACGGUACCGGACUAAGAAGCACCGGCUAACUACGUGCCAGCAGCCGCCGUAAGAC